CGCUGGACCUUGAGCCCGGGGAGAAGAGAGGCACACGUUCUAUGACCAUGGGACGUCUCAAAAUAGGACCUAAGAGCCACAGUGACUUUGCUUCUUGAAAAGUAACUGGGCGGGGGGAGGGGUACGUGGAGAAAAAGAGAGAAUGUGUGCGGGCGGGAGGCGACCAAAAUCAGAAAGAGGUCCUCGGAGGGAGACUGAAGAAGAAUCCACGUUCCUUGAUAGCAGGACUCCAUUAUUUUUGUAUGUCAAAGUUUUUGACAGAGCCUGGCCCAUAUUCACUCAUUUAUCCUCUCCAUAAAAUUUAUGAAAGAAAGGGUGGAUCCUAUGCAGGAAGGAAGACAUAAGAAGACCCCUUUGCAUUCUUAAAGAUUAUGAAGACUCCAAAGAACUUUUGUGUGUAUGGGUUAUAUCGGCAAUAUUUACCCUAGCAGAAACUGGAAGUAAAAAGUACUGACUUAUUGGAUAAUAACAAUAAAAUAAAAGUAACACAAUUCUAAAAAUAUAUAGCUAUAUUAUCAAAAACAUGAAAAAAACAGGAGAGUAACAUUGUUUUACCAUUUCGCAAACUCGAACGCCUAGGUUAAUGGAAAAGUGCUGGAUUAUCUGCUUCCACGUUGAGUAUGUUGGGAUAAGUCGUUCUGGUUGGAGAAUAUGAAGAACGCCCAGCAUCAUACAGAUUGCUGAAGUGCAAUUUCAGAAGAGAAGUAUGGUCUACUUAUUGAUGCCAUCAGAUAUAAAAUUAAGAGAAAGAAAGGUUCUACAAGUGAACUGGACAGAAGAUGUAUAUGUUGAGGCAGCUAUAGAACUCUUAUUUCUUAACUCAAGCAAAAGACCUGUUAGCCAUCCCCUGAUGGAAACCAGCAAGACCACCCCUCAAGCAAUCAUGACUACUCUUGAGGAAGAGCUCUGGAGGCCCCGAUCACCCCGGGCAGUUUGUGCUCAACCCCCAACUCACACCUGCUCCGUAGGUCCCUGGAGUGACUCAUGGAGUGCCCAGCACUUACUUUUACCUCAUUAUAAUCCUAAAAUCUCUACCCAGGAGGAACACAAACCUCAUUUACAUAAUAUACAAUGCAGGUACAGGCAUGUUUCCUUAAGAUGCUUGCAUCACUGAUGUCUGACUCUGUAUAUGAUGACCAGGCUUCCUGUUCUAAAUAUCCAUCCUACUCCUAAAUAAAAGGAACCCAUUCACAGGGAAUCUUGGCUUUUGAAGUUAUUCCUUGUGAUCUCCUUAUCUGCUGCAGAUAACCUUUGCUUUGUGUGACAGUCCCACCUACCAUAGUUUCUGUGAUUCACCAAGGAGCAAACUCAAGUUCAUUCAGUGACACCAGCAACAUCAGAGAAUCA